AGACAAGUUUUAAUCAUCGCUUAUUGGCGCGUCUUAGGGCUCCACACGUCUGCCGCCUGAAGCAUGGACCCCUCUGCGCAUGUCCGGGUCGGUAGCGGAAGGAAGUAGUAAGAGGGGAGAGGACCGGCUCGCCGCGGGGGAGGGUGUGAGUCGUCCUCGGGAGUCCAGAGCUGCUCACCUCUGUCGCUCGUUUCGAGCGAGGCACGUGAUGUCUGUCUAGUGUGAGGCAAGCGGCUCGGUGUUUACACAGUGCGUGUCAAUUACUUCCGUUCGAUGGUGCCUUGGGUGUGAUUUACAGGGACUUCCUAGUCGUACUUACCAUUUGAGGCCGGGCAUGUGCUGACGGCCUUGAACAUCAGCAAAUUUACAACUUCAACUGAUAACUCCAGAUCAAGAGGCUUCAUAAAAAUUAGGAGCACCUUGAUGUGAUGCAGAGAUAAACAGUCUUUAAAAAAACCUGUACUAUAUGCUUUUGAUAACGAUCAGGAGUGUUUCGUACAAAAAGAAGGACACAUUAACAACUUCGGAACUUCUUCAAACGUUCCUUUUGAAUUUCCACUAUAAUAACCGGCACGGUUAUCCCUUUCACUCCAAGGUGGCACGUGCUAAAACUGUCGACUGUGGAACUACGAGAAAGAACAUUGCUGUUUAUUUUGCAAGGAUAAGAAUAACGAUGUGACGAUGACUGGAAGUGACUACUGUCACCGAACUGUAUCAUCAUCAUCUGUGCUUUGCUUCUAAACACAAGGACUACCUACAUCAAUCGGGCUGGAAUAAUAUCCGUGCUGUGAUUUUUUCUGAGCAGUUCUGUUCACCGACGCCAUGGAGAUUCAAAAUCACGGACAACAGUACUAUUAUAUUCCUGGAGGAAUGACUCCUGCUGCCCUUCUACUUAGUUUGACAUGGACUGCCAGUCUCUUCCUUACCUCAGUGUCUCGAGAGACGUGCCACUUCCCUGACUUCCUACAGAGCGCUCCAGAAGGCGGUGACCUUCGACCCUGGACGACCCGGAUGUGGUGGCUCUACCUCCGCCACGCCCCAGAAUGGGCAGAGAAACAAGACAUCUAU